CAUGACAAAGAACAAAAGUCCCAGGGGAACGUCACCAGCAUAGUCAUCUCCACACAUGCAAAGGUCCUUUCUGCCUUUUUUUUUUUUCCCCUUUGAAAUUUCAAAUUCCAGUUUGUGGACAAAGUCCUGCCUAUCUGAGAAUAUAGAUCUUCGACCACUGACCAAACUCCACUUCAAGCAGUCCCGAGGACUGCUCUUCCCCUUGCCCACGGACGUGUCUGCUCAGUCUUUGGAUCUCCCAGGAUCAUGCUGAAAAUUUUGCACUGGAGCACAGCACUGGUACUUGCACAAAGUGGAUUUUGCACUUAAUGUCAGCAGCUUCCUUUCUGGGAAGAAUCUCAGGAGUAACCAGGAGUGUGCAGAGUGCCUGAAUAACCUGUCAUGUCCCCAAUGUCCUCAAUCACCAGACCCCAGCAAGGGGUGAGUAAGAACCAGACAACACUCAGGAGCUCCAUGUCCACAGCAGCUGUACACCCACCACACACCCUCCUGUAUGACACAACCCUCCUGUCCCCUGCCAGAGAAACAAAAACACAGCAAAAAGCAAGGUAUGGGAACAUGGGAGCCUUCUACAUGCAAGAUUUGUUGCAUGGGGGCCAUCAAGGGCAGGGGAUCACCUGUCCCUACAGUUCCAGAAACCCAUGGCCAGGACACUGCAGGGCCAAUGUUUGGCUCCCAGCUCACAAAGAUGGGAAACUGCUAAUCAGACCAUGAGUAUUCCACCUAGGUCUGCAGCACUGGAUAACACUAUUGUGUGUCCCUUCACAUUCCUGCAAGUCCUGGUGCCAUUGGCCUCUUGUGUCAUAAAGAAAUUAAAAUAUAUUAUGAUCAUAAACUACAUCAUUUGAGGAAAUGAACUACUUCUAGUAAACGUAUCAUGAGACACUGAA